AAAAUUGGUGACAAGGAAAUUUGAGGAAGAGGUAUGUAGGUAGACCUCUCUGAAUGGGUAAAUAAUGUGAAGAUAUUUGUAUCCCAUGUGAAUGCUCACCAAAGGGUGACCUCAGCAGAGGAGGAUUUUAAUAAUCAAGUAGAUAGGAUGACCCAUUCUGUAGAUACCUGUCAACCCCUUUCCCCAGCCACCCCCAUAAUCAUCCAAUGAGGUCAUAAACAAAGAGGCCAUAGUGGCAGGGAUGAAGGUUAUGCAUGGGGUCAGAAACAUGGACUUCCACUCACCAAGGCUGAGCUGGCUACUGCCACUGCUGAGUGCCCAAUAUGCCAGCAGCAGAGACCAACACUGAGUACUGAUAUGGCACCAUUCCCUGGGGUGCCAUCAAGCUUCCUGGUAGCAGGUUGAUUAUAUUGAACUGCUUCCAUCAUGGAAGGGGUAACAUUUCAUCCUUACUGGAAUAGACAGUUACUCUCAAUACAGAUGUGCCUUUUCUGCAAAGACUGCUUCUGCCAAAACUACCAUCUGAGGACUUACAGAAUGCCCUAUCCACCACCAUGGCAAAGAAGGGAGUUAUGGUGCUGGGUGAGGAGAUCAGUCCUGAUUACCAAGGGGAAAUUGGACUACUGUUCCACAAUGGAGGAGCUGGAAUGUCGGUCCUCUGCCCUCAGAAUGGGACUUUUUUACACCAUUGGCUCCUGUGUUCUCAGGACUUCAGACUCAAACUGAAUUACGUCACUGGCUUUCCUUGGUCUCCAGCUUGCAGAGGGUAGAUUAAAGGACUUCUCAGCCUCCAUAAUCACACGAGCCAAUUCCUUAUAUCAUAUUAUA